rnacentral:rRNA from 1 species
AUUGAACGCUGGCGGCAUGCUUUACACAUGCAAGUCGAGCGGCAGCGCGGGAGCAAUCCUGGCGGCGAGCGGCGAACGGGUGAGGAAUACAUCGGAACGUACCCCGGAGUGGGGGAUAACGCCGCGAAAGCGGCGCUAAUACCGCAUAUGCUCUGAGGAGGAAAGUGGGGGACUCGCAAGGGCCUCACGCUCUGGGAGCGGCCGAUGUCCGAUUAGCUAGUGGUGGGGUAAAGGCUUACCAAGGCGACGAUCGGUAGCUGGUCUGAGAGGAUGAUCAGCCACACUGGGACUGAGACACGGCCCAGACUCCUACGGGAGGCAGCAGUGGGGAAUUUUGGACAAUGGGGGCAACCCUGAUCCAGCCAUGCCGCGUGCGGGAAGAAGGCCU